UACGGGGGGGGCAAGCGUUGUUCGGAAUUACUGGGCGUAAAGGGCUCGUAGGCGGCCAACUAAGUCAGACGUGAAAUCCCCAGGCUCAACCUGGGAACUGCGUCUGAUACUGGAUGGCUUGAAUCCGGGAGAGGGAUGCAGAAUUCCAGGUGUAGCGGUGAAAUGCGUAGAUAUCUGGAGGAAUACCGGUGGCGAAGGCGGCAUCCUGGACCGAGAUUGACACUGAUGAGCGAAAGCCAGGGGAGCAAACGGG
rnacentral:rRNA from 1 species